rnacentral:rRNA from 1 species
AUUGAACGCUGGCGGCAUGCCUUACACAUGCAAGUCGAACGGCAGCACGGGUGCUUGCACCUGGUGGCGAGUGGCGAACGGGUGAGUAAUACAUCGGAACAUGUCCUGUAGUGGGGGAUAGCCCGGCGAAAGCCGGAUUAAUACCGCAUACGAUCUACGGAUGAAAGCGGGGGACCUUCGGGCCUCGCGCUAUAGGGUUGGCCGAUGGCUGAUUAGCUAGUUGGUGGGGUAAAGGCCUACCAAGGCGACGAUCAGUAGCUGGUCUGAGAGGACGACCAGCCACACUGGGACUGAGACACGGCCCAGACACCUACGGGAGGCAGCAGUGGGGAAUUUUGGACAAUGGGCGAAAGCCUGAUCCAGCAAUGCCGCGUGUGUGAAGAAGGCCUUCGGGUUGUAAAGCACUUUUGUCCGGAAAGAAAUCCUUGGCCCUAAUACGGUCGGGGGAUGACGGUACCGGAAGAAUAAGCACCGGCUAACUACGUG